UAGAUCAGUGAUGACUACUGUUGGUGUAUGAGUCAUAUACGAUGAAUACAUGUCUGAAAUUCUGAGGUCCAA
rnacentral:snoRNA from 10 species